rnacentral:rRNA from 1 species
UUUCGCAAUGCCCGAAAGGGUGACGAAGCGACGCCCCGUGUGGGAAGAAGGCCUUCGGGUUGUAAACCACUGACGGGAGUUAGGAAAUGUAAGGGUGCUAAUAGUAUCCUUACUUGACUAAGGCUCCGGAGGAAGCCACGGCUAACUCUGUGCCAGCAGCCGCGGUAAUACAGAGGCGGCAAGCGUUGUUCGGAAUUAUUGGGCGUAAAGAGCACGUAGGCGGCCUUGUAAGUCAGUUGUGAAAGCCUUCUGCUUAACGGAAGAACAGCAGCUGAUACUGCAAGGCUAGAGUGCGGAGGGGGAGAGUGGAACUUCUGGUGGAGCGGUGAAAUGCGUAGAUAUCAGAAGGAACACCGGCGGCGAAGGCGACUCUCUGGUCCGUAACUGACGCUGAGUGUGCGAAAGUUAGGGGAGCAAACGGGAUUAGAUACCCCGGUAGUCCUAGCCGUAAACGAUGGGCACUAAGUAGAGGGGUUUUA